UCAGUUGUGAAAGUUUGCGGCUCAACCGUAAAAUUGCAGUUGAUACUGGGCGCCUUGAGUGCAGCAUAGGUAGGCGGAAUUCGUGGUGUAGCGGUGAAAUGCUUAGAUAUCACGAAGAACUCCGAUUGCGAAGGCAGCUUACUGGACUGUAACUGACGCUGAUGCUCGAAAGUGUGGGUAUCAAACAGGAUUAGAUACCCUGGUAGUCCACACAGUAAACGAUGAAUACUCGCUGUUGGCGAUACACAGUCAGCGGCCAAGCGAAAGCAUUAAGUAUUCCACCUGGGGAGUACGCCGGCAGCGGUGAAACUCAAAGGAAUUGACGGGGGCCCGCACAAGCGGAGGAACAUGUGGUUUAAUUCGAUGAUACGCGAGGAACCUUACCCGGGCUUAAAUUGCAACAGAAUAUAUUGGAAACAGUAUAGCCGUAAGGCUGUUGUGAAGGUGCUGCAUGGUUGUCGUCAGCUCGUGCCGUGAGGUGUCGGCUUAAG
rnacentral:rRNA from 1 species